ensembl:miRNA mir-5551 miscRNA
UUAAUUAUUUUUGGAGUGGAGCUGUAAAUGGUUGGAAUCUGGUAUAAUGGCUUCGAGACUUUUUAUACCAAUUUCUUACCAUUAGCAUCUACACUUUCAAAUCUAAAUC